UACGAGGGGAGCAAGCGUUGUUCGGAUUUACUGGGCGUAAAGGGCGCGUAGGCGGCCACGACAAGUCACUUGUGAAAUCUCCGGGCUUAACUCGGAACGGUCAAGUGAUACUGUCGGGCUAGAGUACAGAAGGGGCAACUGGAAUUCUCGGUGUAGCGGUGAAAUGCGUAGAUAUCGAGAGGAACACCUGCGGCGAAGGCGGGUUGCUGGGCUGAUACUGACGCUGAUGCGCGAAAGCCAGGGGAGCAAACAGG
rnacentral:rRNA from 1 species